rnacentral:rRNA from 1 species
GAUGAACGCUGACAGAAUGCUUAACACAUGCAAGUCAACUUGAACUUCGGUUUGGGUGGCGGACGGGUGAGUAACGCGUAAAGAACUUGCCUCACAGAUAGGGACAACAUUUGGAAACGAAUGCUAAUACCUGAUAUUAUGAUUUUAGGGCAUCCUAGGAUUAUGAAAGCUAUAUGCGCUGUGAGAGAGCUUUGCGUCCCAUUAGCUAGUUGGAGAGGUAACGGCUCACCAAGGCGAUGAUGGGUAGCCGGCCUGAGAGGGUGAUCGGCCACAAGGGGACUGAGACACGGCCCUUACUCCUACGGGAGGCAGCAGUGGGGAAUAUUGGACAAUGGACCAAGAGUCUGAUCCAGCAAUUCUGUGUGCACGAUGAAGUUUUUCGGAAUGUAAAGUGCUUUCAGUUGGGAAGAAAAAAAUGACGGUACCAACAGAAGAAGUGACGGCUAAAUACGUGCCAGCAGCCGCGGUAAUACGUAUGUCACAAGCGUUAUCCGGAUUUAUUGGGCGUAAAGCGCGUCUAGGUGGUUAUGUAAGUCUGAUGUGAAAAUGCAGGGCUCAACUCUGUAUUGCGUUGGAAACUGUGUAACUAGAGUACUGGAGAGGUAAGCGGAACUACAAGUGUAGAGGUGAAAUUCGUAGAUAUUUGUAGGAAUGCCGAUGGGGAAGCCAGCUUACUGGACAGAUAUUGACGCUGAAGCGCGAAAGCGUGGGUAGCAAACAGG